rnacentral:lncRNA from 1 species
GGUUCCUUCUCGCUAACCUCUUCGCCCGGAAGUGGCAACAAGACUGCAACAUCCCCUCACGCCUAGUCUGUAAAGAACUUUGUUUAACCCGGAGGCGGGGCCAGCCAGCUCCGCCCCUCCAGCUGGACGCGGGAGCGAGGUUGAGGUUCAUACCCCUGGGUUCUCUCCAGGCCUGAGGCGGAGAGCCAGCCGCCUGCCUACCUCUGGGCUUUGAACCCCGGGUCUGGUGACUUCGCUUAAAGACCUCGGGCCGAAGGCCCGCCAGGCUCAACCUCGGUUCACAGGACCCCCGACUUGUGUGAGUCGUACACCGCUCUUUACCGUCUCUGGACCUAGGUCAUCUCGGCAGUAAAAUGGGGUGAAAUGACCCGACCUCCCCGGAGGAUGCCGCGCACGAUGUGUGCCUCAAGUUGGCUUCCACUGACCUGAACUGUUAAGAAAGCCCUCCUCAGUGACGCCUUCCCUGAAUCCACAGUGGAGAUUGCCGUUUUCCUGGAACUAAUUCACCCACACUUACCCAUUUCAUCCCUUUCCACCUUUUAUUUCUACCUUUCUGCCCCACUGAUCUCUAGAAUAGGUGCUGGGAGACGUUAGAGUAUUUGAUCUCCCACUCCCCAGUCAUCCCACUUACCGAGCAGUAAUUCUCUGCCUGGCUGCACAUUGCAAUCACUUGGGAAGCCUCUAAAAAUACUGAUGCCAGGGCUCUACCCCAAGCCAGUUAAAAUCUCCAGCGCUGGACCUGGGCAUUGGUACUUUUUGUAAAGCUUUCAGGUCAAGGAAGAGCAAGACUGAAAAUGUUUACCAGAUUUAUAAUCGAGGAGGUCCUGGAUGACCUUGGCAAAAGCAACCCCAAUGGCAUGGGAAUGAAUGUUUACCAAGAUGAUGCCAGUAUAGCUAGUGAGAUGCAGCACCCCAUCCUCAGCCCCCUCGCCUCUGGAAGAGACACCAGACUGCAAAGGGCACCGCGUACAGAAGCUAACGGAACUUGAAUGACAAGACAAAAAGAGCAGAAUCAGUUAGUGUGACACAACAUUCUAACAUGCCUGAUUCUUACAUCAAAUAUGGUAACUUUGGGGUUGGUAGGGGGAGACAAACAAGGAGAAUCCACUUGGGAACAAUUUGAUGAAGUUUGCAAAUCAGCACUUUACCCCCAAAUUAACAACAGCUUGUAUGGAAAAAAAAAUGCUCUUUUAAAAGUAUAUGGUUUGGACAGGUAUAUUUGUUUUCUCUUGUAGUUUUUGUAAAAAAGUAUCAAAACCUUGGCUUUAAAUAUAUAUAUAUAUAUAUAUAUACACACACACACACGUGGCUUUUUAAAAAUUACUUUUUUAUAGCACAAAGUGUUUGUAAAUGCAGAGGGUUUCUGCUAAUUCUUGACUGUGCACAUGGUGCAUAGCCUGAAUGAACAGAGCUUCCUGAUUUUUUUUUAACUGAAAAAUUGAAGCAGUAAUUCUUUAACCUUCUAAAUUCUCCAUACCCUAAAAAUACAGUGUGAGAAGUCUGUUACUCUAUCUUCAUGCAUUUCGGGAAAAGGAAUUAUUUACUCUGAAACAUUUAAUGCUAACUCAUUUAUAUUUUGUGAAACGAUGAGUGUAUGGCUGGAGUUCGGGGGGUAGGGUGGAGAGGCUUGCAUUCCUGUGCCAUUUCCCCAUUCCCACCAGUGCCCAACUGGACAGUGAUUAGUAUCCCCUCUCCAGACUCAACGUCUUCAACAUUUUCGUUUUUCUUUCUCACAGUUGAGAAAAUCUAAGAGGCUCUCGACAACAUGGCAUGCAUCUGUGAAAAUCCCACUGCCCUUAUAUUAGUCUUCAUUGACCAUAUAAAAAAUCUUUGACUCAAAUAUAUGAAAAGCAGUCAGCAUUUCCCUUUGGCCACUGGAAAGCUUGAGGCUGAAUAAUAUCAGUUCUGCAAAGUGCUGGCAAUGCAUCCUAAUGAAUUUUCCAUGAUGCAUGUAGUGCCUUGUACACAAUGAUCAAGAAAUGCUUCAUUGAAUCAGAAAUUAAUCUAUUUUAUAAAGUGCUUACAUUGAAUCUCUUUCCAUACAGCCUCAUUUCUUGCCCCCCUUGAGCCUUUUGUUCCUGUUAGAAUGAACUGUGCAAUUCCUAAAGUCCCUGUGCUCUUUCAUACCUCUGUGUUUUAGCUCGAUGUGUCUCUGUCUGAAGCAGCUUGGAAUCCCCUUCUUAAUUUUUAAGACUUAAGGUCACUUCUAUGAUGACCCUAUUCCUCAUUUCUUAGGUGGAAAGACCCCUCUCUCCUUUGAGCCCUAACAGUGCUCUGAAUAGAAUCAAUGCCUUUUUUGUUUCCACAUAUAUCAUCCUCCACUGCUACUGUGAACUCUGUAAAGUCAGAACAUGUGUGACUGACCUUUACAUCUGCAGUGCCAGGUGUGUAGUUGGUAUCUAGUGAGUGGUUUUAGUGAAUGAAUAUACUGCAGUCAUACUGAGAUAACUGGAGGGAUCAAUAGGACUUACUGCCAUACAUUUAAAUCCGAUCUCAUUCUCUUUUUGCCAGUUAACAGGUUACUUCAAUCUGUUUUAUAAAUAAUCUGUGUAUCAAGAGUAAAUAAGUACAGUUUCGUUUUCUCUGUUUCUAGAAGGCAUUUCAGUUAGUGCCUUUGUAAUUCCACUGGAGGAAAGGUAGACCAUAGUAUAGGUAGCAGGUUUGAUACAAUGUUCAGGCAGCCCAAAAUAGUCUUCCUGCAGAAGGAAAUGGAGGAAACGCACUGGGACUGGCUUCUGAUAAAUUUUCUGCCCCCUUGGCAUUGUCUCUGAGCUUCCUUCCAGCUCUAUAGUCCAGUGACUCUGUGAUCUGUGAUUGGCUGUAGAUAGCUAUGCACGGGGGCAAAAGGCAAAAGAUAUGUAACUGUACCUCAAAAUGAGGCUGAAAAGCCUCUAUGAAUGGGGGAAGGUGGAUCUGACUCCUCAGGUUUCAUCUUAUUUACUGCCGUCCAACACAUGAAUAUAUCACAAUUUGUUUCUUGUAAAGGGUUGCUCCCAUUGCUGCCUCUUUCAAACUGCAGUUGUAGCAUAUGCAGGAAACAUGAAUGUCUCUGAGAAAAAGUUGUGAAUUUCAUUGUCAUUUUGAGAUCUCAGGCUGUAUGUCCAGACCCCAUUCAUCAUUUUUUUCUGUGAAUGCCAGGAUCUUACUGAAAGUUUAGAAACUAUGCCUUAGCCACUGUUAUCAUUUAAUUCCUUGGAAAAUUCAGUUUCUUUGGAAGGUUACAGAAAAAGUCACUUGUUUUGAGUACAUUUCCAUGUUUUUCACUGUCAUCAUUUUUCUUCAGUCAAAAAUAAUUUUACUUUCCGUUCUUAAAAGAAUAGUAAUAUGUGAGUAAGCUCCAUAGGAGUUGGCCACCUGUUCUUAAAAUUCUGUUUGGUAUUGGUCAUUCUAGGUCAACUGCAUUUACCCUCUCAAUGAAUGUUUCAGGACUAUCAACACAUGCAUGUCAUGAGGAGAUUGCUGGAUUAUGCAAAACACACUGCCCAAGCUCCAGAAUAUAGUUAUUUUCUUAGAGUUUAGGAGGCCAAGAGUGACACAGAGGAAGGUCCUAGGUACAGGAUGCUAGAACUCCAGAAUGUCUGACUGAAAAUUCAAAGGGUAUCAAGCUGGUGAGACAUCCAACUUCAUUGAGUUGGGGGCAUCUGGCAGGUAGGGAUGGGAAGGCAUUUGCUUAAGUGUGUCAAGUUCCAGGUAUGAUGAGAUUAGAUGCAGCUCCUCUGCUCCUACUUAAGUCAAACACUUCCAUGUUGCACCUUGUCCCUGGUUGUCUAGUGGGAGUAAGUGGCAGAACAGCAGAGUUAAGAAACUCAAACUCUUUCUCUUUGGAUGGGAAAGCCACUGGGGACUGAAUCCUUCUGGGACUAUAGGAUUAUGUUUCCAAUGGGAGACCCCACAAGUAGAAAAGAGCACUUCUCCCUUCCUCCCCCAAGGCCAAGAAAAGCAAAGAAGAUGUCUAUAAUGAAGAACAUCUAUACAUAUACCCGGAGUUUUUCCUUUUAUUUACAAAGCAGUAAACCAAAUUCCUGU